UACGGAGGGUGCAAGCGUUAUCCGGAUUUACUGGGUAUAAAGGGUGCGUAGGCGGACUUUUAAGUUAGAUGUGAAAGCUUGCAGCUCAACUGUAAGAUUGCGUUUGAUACUGGAAGUCUUGAAUGUGAUAGAAGUGGGCGGAAUAAAUCAUGUAGCGGUGAAAUGCUUAGAUAUGAUUUAGAACACUGAUUGCGAAGGCAGCUCGCUAUGUCAUGAUUGACGCUGAGGCACGAAAGCGUGGGGAUCAAACAGG
rnacentral:rRNA from 1 species